rnacentral:rRNA from 1 species
UGACAUCCGAUGCAUAGCUUAGAGAUAAGUGAAGUCCUUCGGGACAUCGAGACAGGUGGUGCAUGGUUGUCGUCAGCUCGUGUCGUGAGAUGUUGGGUUAAGUCCCGCAACGAGCGCAACCCUUAUUGCCAGUUACUACGAAAGAGGACUCUGGCGAGACUGCCGUUGACAAAACGGAGGAAGGUGGGGAUGACGUCAAAUCAUCAUGCCCUUUAUGACCUGGGCUACACACGUACUACAAUGGCGUUUAACAAAGAGAAGCAAGACCGCGAGGUGGAGCAAAACUCAAAAACAACGUCUCAGUUCAGAUUGCAGGCUGCAACUCGCCUGCAUGAAGUCGGAAUGCUAGUAAUCGCGGAUCAGCAUGCCCU